rnacentral:rRNA from 1 species
CCUACGGGUGGCUGCAGUGAGGAAUAUUGGUCAAUGGACGGGAGUCUGAACCAGCCAAGUAGCGUGAAGGAGGAAUGCACAGUGGGUUGUAAACUUCUUUUGUAAAGGAAUAAAACGAGGCACGUGUGCCUUUUUGCAUGUACUUUAUGAAUAAGGAUCGGCUAACUCCGUGCCAGCAGCCGCGGUAAUACGGAGGAUCCGAGCUUUAUCCGGAUUUAUUGGGUUUAAAGGGGGCGUAGAUGGGUUGUUAAGUCAGGUGUGAAAGUUUGCGGCCCAACCGUAGAAUUGCAUUUGAUACUGGCAGUCUUGAGUACAGUUGAGGUAGGCGGAAUUCGUGGUGUAGCGGUGAAAUGCUUAGAUAUCACGAAGAACCCCGAUUGCGAAGGCAGCAUACCAAAUUGUGACUGACACUGAUGCUCGAAAGUGUGGGUAUCAAACAGGAUUAGAUACCCUUGUAGUC